rnacentral:rRNA from 1 species
UACGAAGGGGGCUAGCGUUGCUCGGAAUCACUGGGCGUAAAGGGCGCGUAGGCGGACUUUUAAGUCGGGGGUGAAAUCCUGGAGCUCAACUCCAGAACUGCCUUCGAUACUGGAAGACUUGAGUCCGGGAGAGGUGAGUGGAACUGCGAGUGUAGAGGUGAAAUUCGUAGAUAUUCGCAAGAACACCAGUGGCGAAGGCGGCUCACUGGCCCGGUACUGACGCUGAGGUGCGAAAGCGUGGGGAGCAAACAGG